AUUGGAAGAGUGGCUCCUGUUGACUCUGGAUUUUGGUGGAUUAUAUUGCUCCGGGCAUACACAAAAUCUACUGGUGAUAUAUCAUUGGCUGAAAUGCCAGAAUGUCAAAAGGGUAUGCGCCUAAUUUUGAGUUUAUGUCUUUCGGAGGGGUUUGACACGUUUCCAACUCUUCUUUGUGCUGAUGGAUGCUGCAUGAUUGAUCGUAGAAUGGGC
rnacentral:misc_RNA from 1 species